rnacentral:rRNA from 1 species
GUGCCAGCAGCCGCGGUAAUACGGAGGAUGCAAGCGUUAUCCGGAAUGAUUGGGCGUAAAGCGUCCGCAGGUGGCUAUGUAAGUCUGCUGUUAAAGAGUCUGGCUCAACCAGAUAAAGGCAGUGGAAACUACAUGGCUAGAGUGCGUUCGGGGCAGAGGGAAUUCCUGGUGUAGCGGUGAAAUGCGUAGAGAUCAGGAAGAACACCGGUGGCGAAAGCGCUCUGCUAGGCCGCAACUGACACUGAGGGACGAAAGCUAGGGGAGCGAAUGGGAUUAGAAACCCUCGUAGUCC